CCCCCCCCCGGAGACUUCCGACCACCUCCUUCCUCCUGGGUCUGAUGGGCAUUGUCUCUUUAUGUUGUAGAUGUGUGUUCAUCCCACCCUCUAGGCUGGGAGCUCUGCCAGGUGAGGGCCGAUGACUGUCUUAUUCUCAGGUUCCCACUAUCAACUACAGUGUUUGGCAUGCAGAAGCUCAAUAAAUGUUUGUUUCAAUGAAAUGGAAACAGAGCUAUUUAGGGCAUGCUGGUAAUGGAAAUAACCCAGCUUGAAAGAUGCUCUGCGCUAGGUUGCAACCACAGGCAGUUCCAGGCUUACUUAGAAGCCCUGAAUUUACCAUCAGCUUCUAGCCAGGGCUACUAGUUACUGGCUGCUCUGGAGGCCACCCCAUGAUUGCCAUGGGAACCAGCCACUCACAAAGCCUCUGGGGCCCCUGCUCUCUGUGAGCCUUCUCAGAUGCUGCCUUGGGAACUGCACAGGUGCUGGCACCUCCAGCCAGUCAACUCCUUAGAGUGACCUUGGGCCAGAAGAUGGGGGCAGGGCCUCAGUGGGGACAGAACCACCCCACCUACAGCUGCUUUUAUAAAUGGAGAAAUGCAUUCAAAGUUCCAAAGCAACCAGCCAGUAAGUGGACUACUGAAGCUCCUGUGAGAUGAAGUGGCUUCACUCUUGGCAGCUAGAAUAAGAAAGGCAAGAGCCAAGAACCAGGUAGGAGGGAAAAAUGGAAGAAGGAUCAGCUCUCCUUUAUCUUCAGAGUGGCUUUUUGUGGGGUAGGGAGGUCUGACCCUGGGAAAAGGACACUAUGAAAAGUUGUCAGACCCGCCCAUGGUGGGUUCCGGCAGAGAUUUUUACCAAUUGACUUUAAGAGGCAAUCAGUAGAGUAUUUCACAAAUGAGGAAACUGAGGCUCAGAAAAGUUAACUAAGUCCUCAUUCUUAACUUCUUCCCGGGCACACAUCGCCUGGCUGCCCUUGCAACUAGGAGUGGCCAUGUGGCUACCCAAGGGAUCUGAGAGGAAGCAACGUGGGCCACUUCCAGGCCUGGUCUCAAAAAUCUCCCAUGCAUGCCUGCAUGCGCUCAUCCUCUUCUGGCUGGCUGGAAUGACGGUGACCCUGGGCAACUUUGGAAGUAACUAGCGAUCUGGUGAUGAUGGCAGAGUCUCUGCCAGUCCAAGACCCUGAAGGACUGUGCAGAAGAGAGAUGCCCCCCGCCAACCUCUGCCCCUGUCCAGAAGUAUUAUCUGGACAAGAAAAUAAAUGUCUGCGGUGAUUGCACACUGUUACAAGAGGUCUGUUAGUUACAAGAAGUAGCCUUCCCUAACUGAUACAACGGGACAGUCCUAUCUAGCUUUCAGCUUCCCUGUGCCACCCUCCACAAGUCAGGACUAGUUCUAGGGCAACUGAAUUGUGUAGGCUGAGGUGGACAGGUCCAGAGGUGCUGGGAUCAGAGCUGUUCUGUUCAUCACAACAGCUGCUUCCUGUGUUCUGGAAGCCUUCCAAGAAGGUGGCUCCAAGACAGAGCAUGAAUUGUUCACACGAUAUGUUCCCAGGGAGAUUAUGGAUUUGCUGCAUGGUGUCUGGUACUUAAAAGUGUUCUAUGAAUACUUACCGGUUGGGUGGAUGGGUAGACAGAUGGAUGAUGGAUGGAUGGAUGGGUGGAUAAUGGCUUCUACUAUAGGGCAGUGAAAGGAGGGAAUGUCCUAAAUAUAGCCGUGGGAGUCUAAUUGAGACACACGAAGGUAGGUAAAGAAAGAGAGCUGCUCACUCCAGUGACAAUGCUGUUGCUGUAUGUUGGCAGGUCUAGCUGGGUAGAGAGGAGUAGGUAACCAGAGAUGGCCAGGCCCAAGGAGGCAGCAGAUGUGCAACAUAAGUGGCUCCUGCUACUGGGGAUGUCUCACAUCCAUCUCAAACCAGGGCUACAGAUGUCACUUUAGCAAAUAGAAACGCAGAAGCCCAGUUAAAUUUGAAUUUCAAAUAAACAACUAAUAUCUGCUCAUGUGAUGCUUGGGAUACUUAUACUAAAAAAUUAUUCAUUUUUUAAAAUCUGAAAUUCAAAUUUAACUGGGUGUUCUGUAUUUGAUCUGGCAACUGUAACCCAGGCUGCCCAAGAAACGCUCUUGUAUGGACAAACAGGGGAGACCUCUGGCAUGGGCCGAUCAAAGACCACUGUUUCAGGCACGUAAGUCCUGCUGUCAGGGGUGGUUUUUCUCUUUUGAAUAAUCAGGAUAGAAGACCUCUAGCAACUUCAUUUGGCCUCUUCCUUGCGUUUUGGAAAGUAUUCUAAUUAUGGGAAAUGGCAGGUCUAUAAAUAGUGGUGUAAAUUAGAACAGCAAAAACACAAAACCCUUUAGCCUUCAGUCCGCUGGAUCCAGAAAAGAAAUCCUUCCAACCCAGUGACUGUUUAUUAAAUGUGAAACAUAUGGCCUCACUCAUAAUAGAAUUUAUAGAAUGAGAGCACAGGGGCCUUUCUGUUUUUAACCUUUGGAAGAAGGCUCUGUGUGUUUUUCUAGAUUCUUAAAACAAACAUGGUCCACAUGUGUUACUGUCCCUGUCAAAAAGCUGAAACGUAAAAACGCGAUCCAUUGUCAGUAGAGAACUCUUACUCAGCCUUUGCUUAGGCACUGUUGUUCUCCCGUGAGAUUCAACACUAUUUUAGCUUAUUUUCUUAAUAUUCCCAGGAGCCAUGGGAGAAAUUUCUAGAAGUAAAGGGGAUCUAGCCUCACCCUUUCCCCCCCACACUGGUCACAUUACAGGUUUACAUUAAAACCUCCUUGGAGAGAAAAAAGGCAAGAGGCCUGCAGGGGUAGCCAGCCAGCAACCGGGUCAGGAGGAUCGGUCAGAGUUACCAGCACCACAGCCUUGCGCGCAUACCGGUGUCUUGUAACAAGAUUGAGAGCUGCAUCUGAACAGCACAUCGUGACAGAACCUCUGUCAUAAUGCCCCCACUGGUCACGAGAAUGUAAACUCCAAGAAGACAGAGGCCUGUUCAUCUUAUUCAACCCAUGUCCCCAGUACCUGGAACAGCACGCAGUACUUACAUGUGGACUGAAUGAAUGAAUGUCUUGCAGAAACUUUCAAAGCUCCAUAAUAUCACCAGGCAGCAAAUCCUCACGAAGACAGCAUAUAUGCAGACUAAUCAUAGUAGCAGAUAUUUACCUGGGGCUUACCACAUGCUGAAACACUUGACAUUUAUAUUUAAUUCUCUUAAUCCUGACAGGGUGGUGAGGAUGGGAAUUCUAUUACAUUAUUCUCCCAUUUUACAGAUAAGGGCAUGGAGCACAGUGGGAAAAGUAGGUUGCCCGUGACCACACAGGGGAUAAGGGGUUGCCUGCCUGCACACAGGCAACGUAACUCCCAACCCUAAGCACUGCUCACUAAGCUGGGCUGCUAACCUCAGAGAAAGCCCCGUCCUGGGACAUAAAGGAGAUCGCGUCCACGCUGGCUUCUGGAAGAUCCACCCUGUGAAGCUUCCGGUUGUCUAUUUUGGUUUCUUUUAUACUGUUUGUUGAGCUCUGGUCAUAUGUUCAACGUCAGGAGGAAAGAGAACCAAUUGUGAUCUGGCAAGAAUUAGGAGAGAGCCAAAGAAAGAAGAUGGAGGCAGCCAAUGAAGACCUCCAACAGAACCACUGUCUUCUGUGUCUGCCCAUUCGUCCAUUUGUUGUUCACUCCACAGACGUUUUUUGAGCACCUAACCACGGCCAGGCACCAUUCCAGGCCCAUUUGUCUAAACACUACAAAGGCACAGGGCAUGGUGGGAGCAUAUGGAGUGCCAAGGCUAGAAGAAGGACGCUGCUUUAUAGGCUCCAUGUGUGUGGGGCCUUCUUGGAAGCCAAAUGAAGAAAAUCUUUCAAGAGAAGAAAGUGGUCAAACCAUGCCAAGUAAAUGUUCCUCUACCAGGAAAAAAAAUCUAAAUAUUACCCCAUCCCCAUUUUCCAACACUAUAAAUUGUGAGGCCAUCACAAAACUUGGUCCACUCAUCACUGCCGUAUCUCUUCAGUCUCUCCAGGAGGAAAUACGACAUCCACGGAAGCCUCUGCCACAUCCAAAGAAGGAAUUAAUCCAUCAGUACUCAUUGAGUGUCUACUAUAGUCACAGCACUCUGCUCCUGGUUGAAAAUAUACAAGAGAAAGAUUAAAAGACCCAGUUCAAUACGUCUGUCUGCGGAAGGGGAAAUGAAGCAUCUGCUUGGUGCCUCCAUUAGGAAGAUGACUUACGACAGGCAGCUGUCAGGCAAGGCGUCUGCAUUCUGACGGAGCCGGCUAGACCAUGGAGCUGAAAGCCUUCAAGAAGCCAAUGAAAGUCCCAGAACCUUAGCCCAGCCCUUCCCCACCCGCUCCCCCAGAAGCAACGUGAACAUGGGUGCCCACAUACACACAACUGUGAGAAUAAUUUCAGCGUUUUCGAGCUUCCUCACCCCCAAGGUCCAGACCCGGAUGCCACAUCUAUCAGUUCUGAGCUGUGUGAUGUGGGUGGAAUUACUCGCUGUCCUCCUUUGUAAGAUGGGCAUGCACGAACCACACCCAGCUCAUGGGUUUGUUCUGAAGAUGACAUGAGCAGCUGGAGCUGGAGCCCUGGGCACGGCACCUUGCCCAUACUGGGAGCUGGUCAUUAUUAGCUGGUAUUCUCAUGCCCAGGCCAGGAGUUUAAGAUUCCCCAGUCAAAGAGAAUAAUAUAGGUACUUUACAGUUGAUCAGUGCCAAUUUUUCUUUGAAAUCUACCUUACAGGUUUUCUGGAGUAAUGGUUCAGAGUAUGGAUUUACUUUAUAAUAUCGAUAAUUUACUUUAAAAUGGUUUGACUUUGAGCAAGGGAACACUGAGUUUGUAUUAGCUGGAGCCUCCAGGGUGGUCAGCUGGUGUUAUAUCACAAAGACGUCAGGUCUUCAGAUCACUGAGGCUUUGAAAAUUAACAUCGUGAGCGUCAGAAGUGAGUUUUACUGGUGAAAUGAGAGGCUUGCUAGUCUACAUGAUGAAUAUCGGACAUAGGCUCUCGAUGGCAAAAUCAAAGGUAUUCGAGUGUGGAGGGCUGGGUAAACAUUGUAAAGGCGCUCCCCACGUGUGCAUGAGGCGCUGUAGGAAUCCAGUGAGGCCUGUGGCCAUGGCCACAGGGACGGCACCGAAUGUUGCUGUUGCUUCUGUGAACUUUUCAGACAAGAGGUAGACCCAUCAAGCUCACAGCCGUGUGAACUGUCCUGGGCUUGCUUUCUCAAGGAAUGUUGGCUUAAUAAAAGGCCUGUGUUUGUGGCCGAACUUGGUCUGAGAAUUGCUUUCUUCAUAACGUGAUAAUGAGGUCUGAGUGCAUAACUAACUCUCACCCACCUUAAACAUCUCAGUGCCGUCCUAUACCCCAAACCCAAGAGCUGUGCUUGGACCUAUUUAAUAAAGUCACAACAGCUUUAAGACAAGAUGGACUCGAAUUUGGAUCCCAUGUAUGCUGCUUCCUAGCUCUUAGACCUUGGGCAAAUGUCCUCACCUGUGGGUUACUAAGGAUUAGAUAAGAUGAGGCGUACAAAGCACAUACCCGUGCCUGGCACACAGAGAGAGAGUGUAACGGCAUCGUCCUGGUUACUGUCAAGUAUUCAGGAUUCUCAUUCCUCCUUAUAAGAGGCUUUCCAAUGUCCUUUGAUUUUCAUUGUUCUUGAUGAUUUACACAGAACUGUAAGUUGAGG
rnacentral:lncRNA from 1 species